UGGCCACAUGACAUUGAAACACCAAUUCCUGUAGGAUCACUGAAGUUAAGCAAUAUUGAGCCUGGUCAGUAGCUAGAUGGAAGACCACUUGGGAAUAACUGGUGCUGUAAG